rnacentral:rRNA from 1 species
UACGAAGGGGGCUAGCGUUACUCGGAUUGACUGGGCGUAAAGGGCGCGUAGGCGGUUUGUACAGUCAGACGUGAAAUUCCUGGGCUCAACCUGGGGGCUGCGUUUGAUACGUGCAGACUUGAGUUCGGAAGAGGGUCGUGGAAUUCCCAGUGUAGAGGUGGAAUUCGUAGAUAUUGGGAAGAACACCGAUGGCGAAGGCAGCCAUCUGGACCGACACUGACGCUGAGGCGCGAAAGCGUGGGGAGCAAACAGG